rnacentral:lncRNA from 1 species
GUUUGCGAUGAGAUUUCUACUCACUGGUCUUCUGGGGAUUCUUAUCGCUUUGCUUAUUCCUGUCGAAGGCGUACGCAAGCGAAGAAAUACGACAGGGACAGGAAGCUCAAAUGGCAAUGUGCAUAAUAGGCAAUUGCAGUGCAAAUCAACGAACAAGACGUGCCAAUUCUUACGUCAAGGUACAACUAAGUUGACCAAGAAAUUGAGGCGCCAGUGUAUCGAAUGCGUGAAAGCUUGUGCCGCUGUUGCACCUACUACAGAAGCCGAUUACUACCAGAGGAUCUGCGUUGGCCAAUACUGAACGCGGAUCUGAGAACCAUGCCGCUAGAAGAGCUAUUGGUCGCGUGUUUAUUCGAAGCUAUUUCUGAAUCCCAAACACAUGUAAAAAUUUAGUUUACUGGACUCGACUGACGGAGGCAGAUGGAACCUCAAUGAAAACACCAAGGCACAUUUUACUAUCAUCAGAUCUUUUGAAAAUAGAAGUACCAUAACAAUGAAUCUU